rnacentral:rRNA from 1 species
AUUGAACGCUGGCGGCAGGCCUAACACAUGCAAGUCGAGCGAGCGGCGGACGGGUGAGUAAUGUCUGGGAAACUGCCUGAUGGAGGGGGAUAACUACUGGAAACGGUAGCUAAUACCGCAUACCAUCAGAUGUGCCCAGAUGGGAUUAGCUUGUAGGUGGGGUAACGGCUCACCUAGGCGACGAUCCCUAGCUGGUCUGUGAGGAUGACCAGCCACACUGGAACUGAAACACGGUCCAGACUCCUACGGUAGGCGACGGUGGGGAAUAUUGCACAAUGGACGCAAGCCUGAUUCAGCCAUGCCGCGUGUGUGAAGAAGGCAUUCGGGUUGUAAAGCACUUUCAGCGGGGAGGAGUUACCCGCAGAAGAAGCACCGGCUAACUCCGUGCCAGCCGCCGCGGUAAUAC